AACGAACGCUGGCGGCGUGGCUGAGACAUGCAAGUCGCACGGAACUGUGAUUGGGUAACUAAGAGCAGUUUAGUGGCGAAAGGGUGAGUAAUGCAUGGGUAACGUACCCUAGGCACCGGGAUAGCAGCGUCUGCUUCGGCAGACUACCGAAAGGGCUGGUAAUACCGGAUGUGGUCAAGAGCACUACGGUGUUUUUGAUCAAAGGUUGGGGAUCCGCUUCGGCGGACCUAAUGGCCUGGGAGCGGCCCAUGUUCCAUCAGCUUGUUGGUAAGGUAACGGCUUACCAAGGCUGCGACGGAUACCGGGGCUGAGAGGCUGAUCCGGCACAUUGGGACUGAGACACUGCCCAGACCCCCACGGGGGGCUGCAGUAACGAAUCUUCCGCAAUGGGCGCAAGCCUGACGGAGCGACGCCGCGUGUGGGAUGAAUUCCCUCGGGAUGUAAACCACUGUCAGGGCUAUGGAAGCUAUCCGCAGCAAUAUAGCGGUGUGCUGACCUAACCCAGAGGAAGCCACGGCUAACUUCGUGCCAGCAGCCGCGGUAAUACGAAGGUGGCAAGCGUUGUUCGGAAUAACUGGGCUUAAAGGGCACGUAGGCGGCCGGUCUAGCAUUUUGUGAAAUCCCUCGGCUUAACCGAGGAAUUGCGAGGUGAACUGGCCGGCUUGAGCUGCAGAUGGGUGACUGGAACUCUAGGUGGAGUGGUGAAAUGCGUAGAUAUCUAGAGGAACGCCGGUGGUGAAAACGGGUCACUGGCUGCAUGCUGACGCUGAGGUGCGAAAGCGUGGGUAGCGAACGGGAUUAGAUACCCCGGUAGUCCACGCCGUAAACGAUGGGCACUAGGUUCGGGGAAGUUUGACCUUUUCCGGGCCGAAGCUAAAGUACUAAGUGCCCCGCCUGGGGAGUACGGUCGCAAGGCUAAAACUCAAAGGAAUUGACGGGGGCUCACACAAGCGGUGGAGCAUGUGGCUCAAUUCGAGGCAACGCGAAGAACCUUACCAAGGCUUGACAUGGCGGAAGUAGUGACCUGAAAGGGGAGCCACCUGUUAAGUCAGGAGCCGUCACAGGUGCUGCAUGGCUGUCGUCAGCUCGUGCCGUGAGGUGUUGGGUUAAGUCCCGUAACGAGCGCAACCCCUGUUGCCAGUUAUUUUCUCUGGCGAGACUGCCUCGCAAAACGGGGAGGAAGGUGGGGAUGACGUCAAGUCAGCACGGCCCUUAUGCCUUGGGCUACACACACGCUACAAUGGGUGGUAUAAAGGGUAGCAAUGGAGCAAUCCGGAGCCAAUCCUAAAAGCCAUCCUCAGUUCGGAUUGCAGGCUGAAAUUCGCCUGCAUGAAGUCGGAGUUGCUAGUAACCGCAGGUCAGCAUACUGCGGUGAAUACGUUCUCGGGCCUUGUACACACCGCCCGUCACGUCAUGAAAGUCGGCAACACCUGAAGUCGAUGGGCUAACCCUGAGUUUUUCGGGGAGGCAGUCGCCGAAGGUGGGGUUGAUGAUUGGGACG
rnacentral:rRNA from 1 species